rnacentral:rRNA from 1 species
GAUGAACGCUAGCGGCAGGCCUAAUACAUGCAAGUCGGACGGGAUUCAGGAGCUUGCUUCUGAUGAGAGUGGCGCACGGGUGCGUAACACGUAUGUAACCUACCUUUAUCAGGGGGAUAGCCUCUCGAAAGAGAGAUUAAGCCCGCAUAAAAUCACAGCACAGCAUUGUGUAAUGAUCAAAUAUUUAUAGGAUAAAGAUGGGCAUGCGGAACAUUAGCUAGAUGGCGGGGUAACGGCCCACCAUGGCGACGAUGUUUAGGGGAUCUGAGAGGAUGGCCCCCCACACUGGUACUGAGACACGGACCAGACUCCUACGGGAGGCAGCAGUAAGGAAUAUUGGACAAGGGACGGAAGCCUGAACCAGCCAUGCCGCGUGCAGGAAGACGGCCCUACGGGUUGUAAACUGCUUUUAUACGGGAAUAAACCCAGAUACGUGUAUCUGGCUGAAUGUACUGUAAGAAUAAGGUUCGGCUAACUCCGUG